GACGAACGCUGGCGGCGUGCUUAACACAUGCAAGUCGAACGGAAAGGCCCUGCUUUUGUGGGGUGCUCGAUUGGCGAACGGGUGAGUAACACGUGAGUAACCUGCCCUUGACUUUGGGAUAACUUCAGGAAACUGGGGCUAAUACCGGAUAGGAGCUCCUGCUGCAUGGUGGGGGUUGGAAAGUUUCGGCGGUUGGGGAUGGACUCGCGGCUUAUCAGCUUGUUGGUGGGGUAGUGGCUUACCAAGGCUUUGACGGGUAGCCGGCCUGAGAGGGUGACCGGCCACAUUGGGACUGAGAUACGGCCCAGACUCCUACGGGCGGCAGCAGUGGGGAAUAUUGCACAAUGGGCGGAAGCCUGAUGCAGCAACGCCGCGUGCGGGAUGCCGGCCUUCGGGUUGUAAACCGCUUUCGCCUGUGACGAAGCGUGAGUGACGGUAAUGGGUAAAGAAGCACCGGCUAACUACGUG
rnacentral:rRNA from 1 species